GACGAACGCUGGCGGCGUGCUUAACACAUGCAAGUCGAACGGCAAGGCCCUGCUUUUGUGGGGUGCUCGAGUGGCGAAAGGGUGAGUAACACGUGAGUAACCUGCCCUUUACUUUGGGAUAACUUUAGGAAACUGGGGCUAAUACCGGAUAGGAGCUCCUGCUGCAUGGUGGGGGUUGUAAAGUUUCGGCGGUUGGGGAUGGACUCGCGGCUUAUCAGCUUGUUGGUGGGGUAGUGGCUUACCAAGGCUUUGACGGGUAGCCGGCCUGAGAGGGUGACCGGCCACAUUGGGACUGAGAGACGGCCCAGACGCGAACGGGAGGCAGCAGGGGGGAAUAUGGCACAAUGGGCGGAAGCCUGAUGCAGCAACGCCGCGUGCGGGAUGACGGCCUUCGGGUUGUAAACCGCUUUCGACUGUGACGAAGAGUGAGUGACGGUAAUGGGUAAAGAAGCACCGGCUAACUACGUG
rnacentral:rRNA from 1 species